rnacentral:snRNA from 1 species
GGAUGUGAGGGCGAUCUGGCUGCGACAUCUGUCACCCCAUUAAUCGCCAGGGUUGAUUCGGCUGAUCUGGCUGGCUAGGCGGGGGUCCCCCUCCUCCCUCACCGAUCCAUUUGCGUCCCUCCCGAAGCUGCGCGCUCGGUCGAAGAGGACGACCUCCCCCCCCCAAGGAGAGGACCGGUCUUCGGUCAAGGGUAUACGAGUAGCUGCGCUCCCCUCCUAGAACCUCCAAACAAGCUAUCGUAAAAAUGUAAAAUGCCAUUUAAAUUUUUUUUUUUAGUGUUACAUAGACAACAUGGAGGAAAAAAUGAACUUGAGUAUUCAGAUCUGGAGGAAAAUAGCUAUUU